UAAACAUCAUGACUCCCUAUUAAAUUAAGCAAUCAAAGCAUACCAGAUCAUAGAGCGUAAAAAUGGGAAAUACAUGUAAAAUUACUCAUGCGUGCGUUGUUUU